rnacentral:rRNA from 1 species
ANUNNUUUUGUCAGAAAACUGUGAUAAGGGAACUCCGAGUGCCCGUAAACGCGGGCUGUCCAUCUGCUUAAAAAACAGGUGAAGAAAGGGCCGGGCAAGACCGGUGCCAGCCGCCGCGGUAAUACCGGCGGCCUCUCCCCGGUGGCCACUAUUACUGGGCUUAAAGCGUCCGUAGCUUGGUUGUUAAGUCUCUUGGGAAAUCUGUCGGCUUAACCCCCAGGCGUUUAAGGGACCAUUUACGGCUAGGGACCGGGAGAGGUGACUCCCUACUCCAGGGGUAGGAGUGAAAUCCUGUAAUCCUUGGGGGACCACCUGUGGCGUAGGCGUCUCACCAGAACGGCUCCGACAGUCUGGGACGAAAGCUGGGGGAGCAAACCGGAUUAGAUACCCAAGUAGUCCCAGCCGUAAACGAUGCGCGUUAGGUGUAUCGGUGACCACGAGUCACCGAGGUGCCGAAGGGAAACCGUGAAACGUGCCGCCUGGGAAGUACGGUCGCAAGGCUGAAACUUAAAGGAAUUCCUAUCAUCGGUAUNGAUGACCACAAGUCUUCNAGGGC